AGCGAUUCUAACUCCUCCUACUACUCACCUCACCCCAGCCUCACAGACUAACCUUUAUAGAGGUAGUUGAGCCCCGCGUACACACAGGUGGCCAAUGAGAUUUCAACUCCAAGCAGCAAAAAUAUGUGCACCCCACUGAUUGGAUGUCUCCAUCCAGCCUGGCCCGCCCCUAUAUCCGGGGUUUGUAAGAGCAGAUUCUCCAACUGUGGGGAUCCAGGAGCCAUCACUGUCAGUAUCUCCAGGAGGGACAGAACUUACACUGAAGUUUUUCAUCAACCUACAUGACAGCCUUCCCACAAGGAUAACUUCAGGCCCAAAGGCUACACUAGAGAGUUCUAUCAAGUAUUUAAGGAAAAAAAUGGUGAGAAUACUACAGAGAACCAAGGAAGAAUGAACAACCUGGAAUAUGCAUUAUAAAGUCUGUUUUCCUGUUUUAUUAUAACCAGACAAAAUUCCCAAAAUAAAGGAAAUUAAAAAUCUAUGUUUCAUAAACAUAGGAACCAAAAUAUAACAAAAUAUUUGCAAAU
rnacentral:lncRNA from 1 species